CUGCUGCCUUCCGUAGGAGUUUGGUCCGUGUCUCAGUACCAAUGUGGGGGGUUGGCCUCUCAGUCCCCCUAUGUAUCGUCGCCUUGGUGAGCCGUUACCUCACCAACUAGCUAAUACAACGCAUGUCCAUCUCUGACCACCUGAGUUUUCAACCACCGAAGAUGCCUCCGGUGAUGUUAUGGGGUAUUAGUACCAAUUUCUCGAUGUUAUCCCCCUGUCAAAGGUAGGUUACAUACGCGUUACGCACCCGUCCGCCGGUCGCCGG
rnacentral:rRNA from 1 species